rnacentral:lncRNA from 1 species
ACAAAAUAAUCAUUGCACAAGCCCCCCACCUAUUGGAACAUCCCUUCCUCCACGGACAAAGAGGCAUGUGGUUCAGUUAAAGGCACUCCUGGCACGUGGGAUCACACUCAUCUAAGUGUUGGGCUCUCCUGUUGACUCAACCCCAAGGGCAUAAUGCAGAGCAUAAGGCACCAACCACAUGGUAGAUAGCAGAAGAGGGAUGAAGUCCUAAUUAUCAAGGUCCAAUAAAGAAAUGAGCCAAGAUCACGGAUUGGCCAGUGGGUCCAAGGACUCAUCAGGAGUUGCUUCCUCUGCUGAAUUGAGGUCAAUCAUGGCAAGUUUCACCUGGGAGCAAGGUAUCCACAUUAUUCCCUCACAACCCUAAAAGUGGAAUAACUGGCCAGCAGGACCUGGAAAGGUCCAGAAGGGCUAGAGGCUAGAUGUCUUGAAGGCACCCAUCCACUCAUGGUCUGGCUGGAAUAGAUGCAUCAUCUCUUCCAUGGGCAGAGUUUGUGUCAAAGCUGUGGCCUUCUGGACCCAUCAAAGAGAACCAGACAGGGAGAUUAUGUAUCUUAUCUGGCUUCCAUCCUCUGGGGUCAGGCUCACACUCCAAAGGGACAAGUCUCCAAGGUGUGCUUGGUGGCCUACUAACCUGAAUGUCCAAGGGUGGCAAUCCACAAUCCUGUCUACUACUGGAACAACCCAAGAUGGAAAGUAAGCUGGGUCCAGACUGGCCCAGGAGGAAGAAAGGAGCCUGGAUUGCUUUGGAGAAAUGGGCCUGGGUCUUUCACCAUCCAUGAAAAAGAAAUCUACAAUUUGCACGCCAUUAGGUUUUGGGGAUAUGAUGUGGUUGGGAGCCAUGGAACCAUGGAACCAGAACUUUGGAAGUCCCAAAGGCCAAGGCUGUUCCCUAGCACCACCAAAGCCUUGCCCCACUAGAAGUCACAGAAGGGAUAUUGUCUGAGAGAAGUAUGGUCAGAAAGAGUGGUGGGUCAGUCCUGGGGUAAACUUGAGGGAGACCAUGUGGACAGUCUGCCCGAGACCAGAUUGUGCCCCCCUACGCUGGGCAGAUUCUCU